AUACCCGCUGAACUUAAGCAUAUCAAUAAGCGGAGGAAAAGAAACCAACAGGGAUUGCCUCAGUAACGGCGAGUGAAGCGGCAAUAGCUCAAAUUUGAAAUCUGGUCCUUUCAGGUCCCGAAUUGUAAUUUGUAGAGGAUGUUUCGGCUCACGCCCCGGUCUAAGUUCCUUGGAACAGGACGUCACAGAGGGUGAGAACCCCGUUUGUGGCCGGCGGCUUCCGCCAUGUGAAACUCCUUCGACGAGUCGAGUUGUUUGGGAAUGCAGCUCUAAAUGGGAGGUAAAUUUCUUCUAAAGCUAAAUACCGGCCAGAGACCGAUAGCGCACAAGUAGAGUGAUCGAAAGAUGAAAAGCACUUUGGAAAGAGAGUUAAAAAGUACGUGAAAUUGUUGAAAGGGAAGCGCUUGCGACCAGACUUGCCCGCGGAUGCUCAGCCGGUCCUUCGGCCGGUGUACUCUUCCGCGGUCAGGCCAGCAUCAGUUCGGGCGGUCGGAUAAAGGCCUUGGGAAUGUAGCUCACUUCGGUGAGUGUUAUAGCCCUCGGUACAAUACGGCCCGCCUGGACUGAGGAACGCGCUUCGGCCAGGAUGCUGGCGUAAUGGUCGUAAGCGGCCCGUCUUG
rnacentral:rRNA from 1 species